UUCAUAUUUCUUGCUUUUUUAUCUGCUGAUCUGAGCAGGAAUCUCUAUUCCAGAUUUAAAUGCUGGCUUUCAACUGAAGAGAGAUGUGCCUAUGUUCUCAGUACAAGUCCCUCCACCUGCCUUUACCCAAGAUUAUUCCAGACGGAUCUAACAACGCAGUCUGGGCUCUGUGCCAAAGGCUGGUAUUUCACAGCAGCGACCGCCUUACAGAUGAGCUGUGGGAAGCAGGAGGGAGACUCUCUUAGGGUGCCACUACUAUGGAGACACAGCUGGGCUGAACAAGAUUUGCUUCAAACGACAACAAGAGAGACAGAAAGAGUCUGGUUCGACCGCUGCCCAAGCAGGCAGUAACCAGAAGAGCUAGCAGCCAAUCCGGCCAUGCUGCACUGUUCGAAACCAGCUCUACAUCCCAGCCAAUCAGUGACAUCACUGGUGAGAAACUCAUUUACAUCAUGCAGUAAUGAACUUUGUUUAACGUAGCCUUUUUUCUUUUCUUUUUUUUUUUUUUUCCCUCACAGAGAUUAGGUCCUCCAUUAAUUAUUCUGCCAGCAUAAUUUGAGUCGCUAUGCAA
rnacentral:lncRNA from 12 species